ACUCAAAGGAAUAGACGGGGGCCCGCACAAGCGGCGGAGCAUGUGGCUUAAUUCGAUGCAACGCGAAGAACCUUACCUGGGCUUGACAUGCGGGGCGAAGCCUAUGAAAGUAGGCGCUCCUUCGGGAGCCCGCACAGGUGCUGCAUGGCUGUCGUCAGCUCGUGCCGUGAGGUGUUGCCUUAAGUGGCGCAACGAGCGCAACCCCUGUCCCAUGUUGCCAGCGGAUCAUGCCGGGGACUCAUGGGAGACUGCCGGUGCCAAACCGGAGGAAGGUGGGGAUGAGGUCAAGUCAUCAUGGCCCUUAUGCCCAGGGCUGCACACAUGCUACAAUGCGCGGUACAAAGGGCUGCUAUCCCGCAAGGGUGAGCGAAUCCCAAAAAGCCGCGCUCAGUUCGGAUCGAGGUCUGCAACCCGACCUCGUGAAGCCGGAGUCGCUAGUAAUCGCAGAUCAGCAAUGCUGCGGUGAAUACGUUCCCGGGCCUUGUACACACCGCCCGU
rnacentral:rRNA from 1 species